rnacentral:rRNA from 1 species
GACGAACGCUGGCGGCGUGCCUAAUACAUGCAAGUAGAACGCUGAAGAGAGGAGCUUGCUCUUCUUGGAUGAGUGGCGAACGGGUGAGUAACGCGUAGGUAACCUGCCUUGUAGCGGGGGAUAACUAUUGGAAACGAUAGCUAAUACCGCAUAACAAUGGAUGACACAUGUCAUUUAUGUGAAAGGGGCAAUUGCUCCACUACAAGAAGGACCCGCGUUGGAUUAGCUAGUAGGUGAGGUAACGGCCCACCAAGGCAACGAUACAUAGCCGACCUGAGAGGGUGAUCGGCCACACUGGAACUGAGACACGGCCCAGACUCCUACGGGAGGCAGCAGUAGGGAAUCUUCCGCAAUGGGGGAAACCCUGACGGAGCAACGCCGCGUGAGUGAAGAAGGUUUUCGGAUCGUAAAACUCUGUUAUUAGGGAAGAACGGGUGUGUAAGUAAAAAUUCCCGCCUUUACCGGAACUAAUCAGAAAGGCAACGCUAAAUACCGU